AGCGGCAAACGGGUGAGUAACACGUGGGUGACCUACCCUGAAGACGGGGACAACCCUUGGAAACGGGGGCUAAUACCCGAUGUGCUCGGUCAUUCGGUUGGUCGAGUAAAGGCUGAGGCGCUUCAGGAUGGGCCUGCGGCCCAUCAGCUAGUUGGUAGGGUAACGGCCUACCAAGGCGGAGACGGGUAGGGGGCGUGAGAGCGCGGUCCCCCACACUGGCACUGCGACACGGGCCAGACUCCUACGGGAGGCAGCAGUAAGGAAUCUUGCGCAAUGGGCGAAAGCCAGACGCAGCGACGCCGCGUGGGCGAAGAAGGCCUUCGGGUUGUAAAGCCCUUUUCCAGGGGAAGAGGAAGGACGGUACCCUGGGAAUAAGUCCCGGCUAACUAUGUGCCAGCAGCCGCGGUAAGACAUAGGGGACGAGCGUUAUCCGGAUUUACUGGGCGUAAAGAGCGUUGAGGCGGUUCCGUAAGUUGGAUGUGAAAGCCCCGGGCUUAACUCGGGGAGGUCGUUCAAUACUGCGGGGCUAGAGGGCAGCAGAGGGAGGUGGAAUUCCCGGUGUAGUGGUGAAAUGCGUAGAUAUCGGGAGGAACACCCGUGGCGAAGGCGGCCUCCUGGGCUGACCCUGACGCUGAAUGCGAAAGCUAGGGGAGCGAACGGGAUUAGAUACCCCGGUAGUCCUAGCUGUAAACGAUGGAUGCUGGGUGUGGGGGAUAUAAAUUCCCUCUGUGCCGAAGCUAACGCGUUAAGCAUCCCGCAUGGGGACUACGGCCGCAAGGCUAAUACUCGAACGAAUUGACGGGGGCCCGCACAAGCAGCGGAGCGUGUGGUUUAAUUCGAUGCUACACGAAGAACCUUACCUGGGCUUGACAUGCACGUGGUAGGGAACCGAAAGGGGACCGACCUUCGGGAGCGUGCACAGGUGCUGCAUGGCUGUCGUCAGCUCGUGCCGUGAGGUGUCGGGUUAAGUCUCGUAACGAGCGCAACCACUUGCCAUUAGUUAUACGUGUCUAAGGGGACUGCCCGGGAUAACCGGGAGGAAGGUGGGGAUGACGUCAAGUCAGCAUGGCCUUUAUGUCCAGGGCUACACACACGCUACAAUGGCCGG
rnacentral:rRNA from 1 species